GACGAACGCUGGCGGCGUGCCUAAUACAUGCAAGUCGAACGCAGUUGGGACGGGUGAGUAACACGUGGGUAACCUCCCAUCAGAGGGGAUAACACUUGGAAACAGGUGCUAAACCGAUACUGAUAGAUGGACCCGGGGGGCAUUAGCUAGUGGGUGGGGUAACGGCUCACCAAGGCCACGAUGCAUAGCCGAGCUGAGAGGGUGACCGGCCACACUGGGACUGAGACACGGCCCAGACGCCUACGGGAGGCAGCAGUGGGGAAUAUUCGGCAAUGGACGAAAGUCUGACCGAGCCACGCCGCGUGAGUGAAGAAGGUUUUCGGAUCGUAAAACUCUGUUGUUAGAGAAGCGUUAUCUAACCAGAAAGCCACGGCUAACUACGUGCCAGCAGCCGCGGUAAUUC
rnacentral:rRNA from 1 species